rnacentral:rRNA from 1 species
GAUGAACGCUGACAGAAUGCUUAACACAUGCAAGUCAACUGUGGCGGACGGGUGAGUAAAGCGUAAAGAACUUGCCUCACGGAUAGGGACAACAUUUGGAAACGAAUGCUAAUACCUGGUACUGUGAGAGAGCUUUGCGUCCCAUUAGCUAGUUGGCGAGGUAACGGCGCACCAAGGCGAUGAUUGGUAGCCGGCCUGAGAGGGUGAUCGGCCACAAGGGGACUGAGACACUGCCCUUACUCCUACGGGCGGCAGCAGUGGGGAAUAUAUGACAAUGGACCAAAGUCUGAUCCAGCAAUUCUGUGUGCACGAUGAAGUUUUCGGAAUGUAAAGUGCUUUCAGUUGGGAAGCGGUACCAACAGAAGAAGUGACGGCUAAAUACGUGCCAGCAGCCGCGGUAAUUC